rnacentral:ncRNA from 1 species
AUGAUACUUCCGUCCAGUCACAGCCCCCUUUGACCAGGGGAUCACGCAAUGAGGGCGGCGGCCGGAGAACCUGGCCGGGGUUAGAAUCCCAUGA